rnacentral:ncRNA from 1 species
AAGAAUUUGGUUCUGGUUUUUAUUGUUAGGUGUCCUGAGAUUUACACAUGCAAGCUAGUUAAGCUGGCCGGUGAGGGCCUUUUGGCUUAAAAAAGGGUUCUUAAAAGAAUUUUUUUAGGUUGCGAGGAGGGUAACUUUUAUUUUAAAAGUAAGAUAUUAGUUAAGUAGCGUCACAUCAGCAGUGAUAAGCACUGAGCAAUGGUUUUUGGGCUGACUAGACGAGGGGAUAAGGAGGCUGACGAAAAUAUCGUGCCAGCAGUCGCGGUUACACGAAGUAGCUUUUUUAACGUAGUAAGCGGCUUAUUGUGGUUAAAUUGGAAAUAUAAGGAUUCUGUAGACUGAAUGCUGAACAUUCAGAGUGAAAUCUGAUUUUGGUGGGAGUGUAACAGGAAUAUUAGUGCUACGAAAUUUUAGGGAGAAACUUGGAUUAGAUACCCAACUAUUCUUUAGAGUAAAUUAUUAGGUUGCCGGUAGGGUAAGAGGGUUUCCUUAAGAAACAAAGAACUUGGCGGUAACUCAGUUCUUAUUAGGGGAGCCUGCUAGAAGAAAAUGAUAAUCCGCAAAAUAUCUGACCUUCUCUAGAUUUUAUCAGUUUCUAUAUCAUUGUCGCUAAAUCUUCAUUGUGAGUUUGAAGGUUAUUUAUCUUUAUUUAAGAAAUAAGUCAGAUCAAGAUGGAGCUUAUGGGAAGAGGGAUUAGUGGGCUACAGUUGUUAAAUAAUAAAAGUGCCGGAACCUUGAGUGAAAUGUGGAGAUGAAGGAGGACUUAAUAGUAAUAAGACUAAAUAAAGGUUUUUUGAAGUUAGCUCUGAGUUGUGUACACAUCGCCCGUCACCUCCGAGGUUAAACUUGGAGUAAGUCGUAACAAAGUAGGCGUACCGGAAGGUGCUGCCUGGAAUGAAUU